rnacentral:rRNA from 1 species
AUGAACGCUGGCGGCGUGCCUAAUACAUGCCAGUCGAGCGCACGGACGAGAAGCUUGCUUCUCUGAUGUUAGCGGCGGACGGGUGAGUAACACGUGGAUAACCUACCUAUAAGACUGGGAUAACUUCGGGAAACCGGAGCUAAUACCGGAUGAUAUUUUGAACCGCAUGGUUCAAAAGUGAAAGACGGUCUUGCUGUCACUUAUAGAUGGAUCCGCGCUGCAUUAGCUAGUUGGUAAGGUAACGGCUUACCAAGGCAACGAUGCAUAGCCGACCUGAGAGGGUGAUCGGCCACACUGGAACUGAGACACGGUCCAGACCCCUACGGGAGGCAGCAGUAGGGAAUCUUCCGCAAUGGGCGAAAGCCUGACGGAGCAACGCCGCGUGAGUGAUGAAGGUCUUCGGAUCGUAAAACUCUGUUAUUAGGGAAGAACAUAUGUGUAAGUAACUGUGCACAUCUUGACGGUACCUAAUCAGAAAGCCACGGCUAACUACGUG